GUGCGAUUGCACCCACCUGAUAUCUCGAAGCCUUAGCAAACGCAACGCAAUAAAUGCCUGUCCGGAAGUACAAUUAUAGUCUCGAACACACGCGUACGCCUAGCGGUUCUUUUUUGUUUGGAGGGACGAUAGUAAAUCGCACGUGAAAUGGAGAAACACAGCAGGGAGCGUUACAAAACCGAUGAGCUCGCGGUGUUGGUGGAGGAGGUCUCGUGUAGACCUACACUAUUUAGCCCCUUCACCAACACCGUGACUGUAAAGUCCAAAGAAAAUCAAUGGGCUGAAGUUGCCGAAAAAGUUGACAGUGUUUCACAUGUAUAUAAAGAGGAGUUUCCGAGAGGUCAGGAAAAAAUGGCAUGACCUCACGUCUCGCACUAAGCGCAAAGAGGCCAAACGCCGUGCAGCAAUGCGGCAGACAGGUGGUGGUGUGGGGCCCAGUCCAAUGUCAGAGUGGGAGAAGAAGAUGUAAGUGAAAGGUUUUACAACGUAGAGAAGGAUCACCUAGCAUUAGAGGAGGAGAGGUUGAAAGUAGAAAAAGAGCGUUUACAGUUAGAAAGGGAGAGAUUAGAAAUUGACAAAAGUAACAAAGUGUUAUUUGAAAAAAUAACAGAAUACUGUAAAGUGAAGUUGGAUGUUCUGAAGUGUGAGUCUCUUGCAGAUACUUAACAGUGAAUGCAUCUUAUUGGGAUCAUGAUAUUUUAUGUUUUUGCCAAGACACAUACUAGCCGUAUGUUACUGUACAUCACUGUACUAGCCAUUAGUUGCAUCUGCUGUUGCAGUCAUCAUCCCUGUACUGUGAACUUUCACAGAUAACAUUUUAAAUUUAAAAAAAUACAUCUUUUGUCUUAAAGGUAACAGAACUGAUGAUUAUCCAUAAAAUACAGGUCAAAUUUAAAUAUCACCUGGCUUGGACCAUAUUACUGUAUGCAAUUCGAAUGACACAUUGCAAGGAAAAUGUCAAACUUUCAUAAGGAGAGUUCCAAAUUAUUAAAAUAUUUUGUUUCAAAACCAUCCAGAUCAAAUUAAGUUUGGUAAAUUAUUAUUUUUAUUUAUUAAUUUUUUUGUCUGUGAAUGUGUGAAAUAAUAAUUUUUUCACAUAUUAGCAUUUUCAAGGUAAGGCACAACUUGAAGACCUUUUUUUACCCACAUUGUCUGGAUAUCCAUAAUACUUAUGUUAUUUUAAUUUUGUAGUGAAUAUGCUGUUGAGUAUUAUGUUAUAUUGCAUCAAAAUUGGCAAAAUACCUAUUGUGGACCCUGCCACCACAAAUGUAAUGAAAAAUAAAACUUUGUUACUUAUUUUUUUUACGUACAAGAAUGAUAAUAAGGAUAUACAUACAGCUGAUAUUGAAAAUGCCAACUUGACUGUAUUAUUUUUUCCUUUAAUUUAUGCAAUUUCUUUUUGAUAAUUUUUCAGUAUUUUUUAUUCAGUAAUUUUCAAUAUUUGAAUCAGUUUGAUCAUUCAGUACUGUAUUUUAAACUAAGUUUAUGACCUCAGCAAAGAACUGGAAUUUGUUACAAAUCUUUUAUAAGGGAUAGUUUUCAUUUGCUUUUGUCCUUGAAAAGGACUUUAUUUUUAUAUUGUACUUAUUUACUUUAAUUUA